rnacentral:rRNA from 1 species
GACGAACCGAGCAAACGUUAUUCGGAAUCACUGGGCUUAAAGGGCGCGUCGGCGGGCAUCCACGUCUGUGGUGAAAUCCGGCAGCUUAACUGUCGAACUGCCGUGGAUACUGGGUGUCUCGAGGGAGGUAGGGGCGUGCGGAACUAUUGGUGGAGCGGUGAAAUGCGUUGAUAUCAAUAGGAACUCCGGUGGCGAAGGCGGCACGCUGGACCUCUUCUGACGCUGAGGCGCGAAAGCCAGGGGAGCAAACGGG